rnacentral:rRNA from 1 species
GCUCAGGACGAACGCUGGCGGCGUGCUUAACACAUGCAAGUCGAACGCUGAACCGGUUUCGGCCGGGGAUGAGUGGCGAACGGGUGAGUAACACGUGGGUAAUCUGCCCUGUACUCUGGGAUAAGCCUGGGAAACUGGGUCUAAUACCGGAUACGACCAUUACAGGCAUCUGUGGUGGUGGAAAGUUCCGGCGGUAUGGGAUGAACCCGCGGCCUAUCAGCUUGUUGGUGGGGUAAUGGCCUACCAAGGCGACGACGGGUAGCCGGCCUGAGAGGGUGACCGGCCACACUGGGACUGAGACACGGCCCAGACUCCUACGGGAGGCAGCAGUGGGGAAUAUUGCACAAUGGGCGCAAGCCUGAUGCAGCGACGCCGCGUGAGGGAUGACGGCCUUCGGGUUGUAAACCUCUUUCGCCAGGGACGAAGCGCAAGUGACGGUACCUGGAUAAGAAGCACCGGCUAACUACGUGCCAGCAGCCGCGGUAAUACGUAGGGUGCGAGCGUUGUCCGGAAUUAUUGGGCGUAAAGAGCUCGUAGGCGGUUUGUCGCGUCGGCUGUGAAAUCUGGAGGCUUAACCUUCAGCGUGCAGUCGAUACGGGC